GAUGAACGCUGACAGAAUGCUUAACACAUGCAAGUCAACUUGAACUUCGGUUUGUGUGGCGGACGGGUGAGUAACGCGUAAAGAACUUGCCUCACAGAUAGGGACAACAUAUGGAAACGAAUGCUAAUACCUGAUAUUAUGAUUAUAUGGCAUCGUAUAAUUAUGAAAGCUAUAUCGGCUGUGAGAGGGCUUUGCGUCUCAUUAGCUAGUUGGAGAGGUAUCGGCUCACCAAGGCGAGGAUGGGUAGCCGGCCUGAGAGGGUGCUCGGCCAAUAGGGGACUAAGACACGGCCAGUACCCCUACGGGAGGAAGAAGUGGGGAUAAUGGAACAAGGGACCAAGAGUCUGGUCCAGCAAUUCUGUGUGCACGAUGAAGUUUUGCGGAAUGUAAAGUUUUUUCAGUUGGGAAGAAAAAAAUGACGGUACCAACAGAAGAAGUAACGGCUAAAUACGUG
rnacentral:rRNA from 1 species